AGCGAACGCUGGCGGCAUGCCUAACACAUGCAAGUCGCACGGGGGGGCUUCGGCCUCCCAGUGGCGGACGGGUGAGGAACGCGUAGGGACCUGUCGAGGGGUGGGGGAUAACCGCGGGAAACUGCGGCUAAUACCGCAUGACGCCGCGGCGUGACAGCCGGGGCCAAAGGCGAAAGCCGCCCGCCGAAGGGCCUGCGUCCGAUUAGCUGGUUGGCGGGGUAGCGGCCCACCAAGGCGUCGAUCGGUAGCUGGUCUGAGAGGGUGAUCAGCCACACCGGGACUGAGACACGGCCCGGACUCCUACGGGAGGCAGCAGUGGGGAAUAUUGGACAAUGGGCGCAAGCCUGAUCCAGCAAUGCCGCGUGGGUGAAGAAGGUCUUCGGAUUGUAAAGCCCUUUCGGCGGGGACGAUGGUGACGGUACCCGCAGAAGAAGCCCCGGCUAACUUCGUG
rnacentral:rRNA from 1 species